UGGGGAAUAUUGGACAAUGGGCGAAAGCCUGAUCCAGCCAUGCCGCGUGUGUGAAGGAGGCCUUUUGGUUGUAAAGCACUUUAGCGAGGAGGAGGCUACUUGGAUUAAUACUCUAGGAUAGUGGACGUUACUCGCAGAAUAAGCACCGGCUAACUCUGUGCCAGCAGCCGCGGUAAUACGAAGGGU
rnacentral:rRNA from 1 species